UGUAUUCACUACUGUAAGUCGCUCUGGAUAAGAGAGUCUGCUAAAUGUCUAAAA
rfam:Salmo salar isolate Sally breed double haploid chromosome ssa13, whole genome shotgun sequence.